rnacentral:tRNA from 1 species
GGUGGUAUUAAAAAGUGUAAGUAGUAUGCUUUGGGAGCAGGAGAUCGCAAGUUCGAAUCUUGCUACCCCGACCC